AGCGGCGGACGGGUGAGUAAAGCCUAGGAAUCUGCCUGGUAGUGGGGGAUAACGCUCGGAAACGGACGCUAAUACCGCAUACGUCCUACGGGAGAAAGCAGGGGACCUUCGGGCCUUGCGCUAUCAGAUGAGCCUAGGUCGGAUUAGCUAGUUGGUGAGGUAAUGGCUCACCAAGGCGACGAUCCGUAACUGGUCUGAGAGGAUGAUCAGUCACACUGGAACUGAGACACGGUCCAGACUCCUACGGGAGGCAGCAGUGGGGAAUAUUGGACAAUGGGCGAAAGCCUGAUCCAGCCAUGCCGCGUGUGUGAAGAAGGUCUUCGGAUUGUAAAGCACUUUAAGUUGGGAGGAAGGGCAUUAACCUAAUACGUUAGUGUUUUGACGUUACCGACAGAAUAAGCACCGGCUAACUCUGUGCCAGCAGCCGCGGUAAUACAGAGGGUGCAAGCGUUAAUCGGAAUUACUGGGCGUAAAGCGCGCGUAGGUGGUUCGUUAAGUUGGAUGUGAAAUCCCCGGGCUCAACCUGGGAACUGCAUUCAAAACUGUCGAGCUAGAGUAUGGUAGAGGGUGGUGGAAUUUCCUGUGUAGCGGUGAAAUGCGUAGAUAUAGGAAGGAACACCAGUGGCGAAGGCGACCACCUGGACUGAUACUGA
rnacentral:rRNA from 1 species